rnacentral:rRNA from 1 species
ACCUGCCCUAUGAUAAGUUAAAUGGCUGCGGUAUUUUGACCGUGCAAAGGUAGCAUAAUCAUUAGUUUUUUAAUUGGGAACUGGUAUGAAAGGUCGAACGAGAAAAAGACUGUCUCAAUUUAAUUUUAAUUAGAAUUUUAUUUUUAAGUAAAAAAGCUUAAAUAAUUUUAAAAGACGAGAAGACCCUAUAGAGUUUUAUAUUUAAAUAUUUAUAUAAAGAGUUAAAGAAUUAUUUUUUUAUUUAGGUAUUAUAGUAUUUGAUUGGGGCGAUUAAAAAAUUUAAUAAACUUUUUUUAAAUUAUACCAUUGAUUUAUGAAUAAGUGAUCCAUAUAUUAUGAUUAUAAGAUUAAAUUA